CGAUGCGCAGCUACCUGCAGUCGAGCGGUAACAGAGAUAACUUGCUUCUCUGCUGACGAGCGGCACACGGGUGAAUAGCACUUGAGAAUUUGCCUUUAUGCGGGAGACACCGGGGAAAACCUGGGGCUAAUACCGUAUAAUGUCUACGGAACAGGGGGGGGGAGCUCCCGGUCUCGCACCUACCUAUGACCCCUUACGGGAUUAGCUAGGUGGUGGGUUACCGGGUCACCAAUGCGACGAUCCCUUGAUGUUCUGAUAGGAUGAUCCGCCACACUGGGACUGACACACGGCCCACACUCCUACGGGAGGGGGAAUAUUGGAAUAUUGCACAAUGGGGGAAACCCUGAUGCCGCCAUGUGUCGUGUGUGAAGAAGGCCUUCGGGUUGUAAAGCACUUUCAACGACGAGGAAGGGUGUUGUGUUAAUAGGAAAGACACAUUGACGUUAAUCGCAAACGACUACCGGCUAACUCCGUGCCCGCAGCCGCGGUAAUACGCAAGGGUGCAUCCGUUUUUCUGAAUUACUGGGCGUAAAGCGUGGCUUGGCGGCGUGUUUGUGAAGAUGUGAAAGCUCCCCCUGUCAACCUGGUAAUUGCAUUUUGAACUGGAUGCUAGAGUCCUGAAUAGGGUUCCCGAAUUUCCGGUGUAAAUGCUGAAAUGCGUAGAUAUAAUACCAGAAUACCGGUGGCGAUUCUGGCCACCUGCUCACACACUGACGCUGAAGUACGAGUGCGUGACGAGAUUACAUACCUAGAUACCCAAGGUAGUC
rnacentral:rRNA from 1 species